rnacentral:rRNA from 1 species
UACGUAGGGGGCAAGCGUUGUCCGGAAUUAUUGGGCGUAAAGAGCGUGUAGGCGGUCCGGUAAGUCGGCUGUGAAAACCUGCAGCUUAACUGUGGGCGUGCGGGCGAUACGGGCAGACUGGAGUACUGCAGGGGAGACUGGAAUUCCUGGUGUAGCGGUGGAAUGCGCAGAUAUCAGGAGGAACACCGGUGGCGAAGGCGGGUCUCUGGGCAGUAACUGACGCUGAGGAGCGAAAGCGUGGGGAGCGAACAGG